AUUCUGCCCAAGCGGGGAAGGAUGAGAAGCUUCGACCAAGGUUCGACUCGAGCGCCAGCGAGAGAGCGUUGCCGCAGGCAACGACCCGAAGG
rnacentral:sRNA from 1 species